GAGUUUGAUCCUGGCUCAGAACGAACGCUGGCGGCAGGCCUAACACAUGCAAGUCGAACGAUAAGUCGCGGUUCGCCGCGACCCAAAGUGGCAGACGGGUGAGGAACAUGUGGGAAUCUACCCAAAGGCGGGGAACAACCCAGAGAAAUCAGGGCUAAUACCCCAUACGCCCAAUCCUUAAUCAGAUUGGGGAAAGAUCUUUCGCCUUCGGAGGAGCCCGCACGGGAUUAGUUAGUUGGCGCGAUAAUAGCGCACCAAGACCAUGAUCCCUAGCUGGUCUGAGAGGAUGAUCAGCCACACUGGGACUGAGACACGGCCCAGACUCCUACGGGAGGCAGCAGUGGGGAAUCUUGCGCAAUGGGCGAAAGCCUGACGCAGCCAUGCCGCGUGAGUGAAGAAGGCCCUCGGGUUGUAAAACUCUUUCGCCGGUGACGAUCGUGACGGUAACCGGUAAAGAAGCCCCGGCCAACUCCGUGCCAGCAGCCGCGGUAAGACGGAGGGGGCUAGCGUUGUUCGGAAUUACUGGGCGUAAAGGGCGUGUAGGCGGAUGGAUCAGUCGGGGGUGAAAGCCCGGGGCUCAACCCCGGAACGGCCUUCGAUACUGUCCAUCUUGAGGCCGG
rnacentral:rRNA from 1 species